CGCCGGCACCUGUCAUGGAAAGCACAGCAUAGCAGUCCAUAGUGCCGGCUCCCGAACUGCGGAGAGUUGUCAUACUGCAGGGGGUGUUGAUAGGUAUGGAUGCGAUGCAGUGCAGCAGAACCCGAGCCGACUGGGAGGGGCCAUGCCAGACCAACUAGGUGCAGGGAGCGCUGUAACAGGAUUCUCUAGAUCCAACCAUGGUGGCAGUAAGGAGGCGUGCGCAAUCAUGAUGAUGGGACUGAUGGCGGACGGACAGCAGAAAGUGGACAGCCUGUUCAGCCACCUACUGGAGGGUCUUUUCCGGAGCGACACUGAAUACCGACUGAAGAUACAGUCUUCCUAGGGAGGAUCAAUUUGUUCAGGGGUUCCCCAUUGCAAAGAAAACACAUUAUAAUGGCGCUUGUAUUUUGUGUUCUCCUAAAAUACACCAGCUGAAUGGAUUCUGCAUUAACCUCUGUACUACCAGAAUAGUAACACAGUGUUUUACAACAGAAACCUGCAGAACUGCAACAGCACAAGUAACUGAUUACAGUGCCGUUUCUUCCAUUGGGAUUAAUGGGCAGUUGCCCCCAAGGGCCCCAGGAUUCUAAGGACCUGUGGAUCAUAACCCCCCCCCCCCGCCCCCCUAACCACUGGACAGCCGCCACCGAUAGGGGGCAAACAUCACAGCCACUGAUAGCAAUAUACCACCCGACAUCACAACCGCCAAUAGCAUCCCCCCCCAGACAUUACAGUCACCGCCGGUAGUGCCUUCCACAUCCCCCCCCACUCAUAGCCAACCCCGAAAGCACCUGCCCCACCCCAAACACACAUACACAGCUGGAGGAUUGGUAGGGGCCCCUGGGCAUUGCUUUGCCCAGGAGCCUACACUGCUGUAAAGACAGCCCUGACUGAUUAUCUGCCAUGAUAGCAGCUUGUUAUGUGUAAUAGUCAGCCAUGUAUUCCAAAUGUUCUUAUAAACACAUGUUCGGCCGCAUUCUGUGUUGCACAUUAUGCCUGUGUUCAUGGAGUUAAGUGAUUUUUUUUUGCUACUGCUCAUGAAAAUCCCUAAACAAUCAUCCAGCACAUGCAUCCCAAGGUGUGUGUGCACAGUUGUGAAUGAGAUGCUCGGUAUUAGAAAUGUACUGGAAAUGUGCUGGGCGUUCAUGGGCGGAGACUGGGAGGUGGUUACUCAGAUAUACCUUCAUUUAAAGGUAUAAAAACAAAAUGGUGCAAACAUUUAUGACCUAGCCCGUGGCAAACACCAUUUAUUAAGGAGCUUUUCAUAGAACUAAAGAAAUCUAAAGCAAGUUACCUUAUCUUACUGGGAUAUUUUAAUGUAGCAUUAAAUCCAAAAAUGGAUAGAUGAAGUCCAACAUCAAACAAGCAUUUGAUCAGUGACAACUAUCCUCACCUGAGUUUCAGCACCUGCUUGCUAAAUUUGAUUGAUAUGACACAUGUACAGUUCUGGAUUAAGAUCCCAUGGGGUACUAGGCGAGAUACUGGUUCCAGGUCAGCCCCCCAGACCGUCUCUAUUCAUUACUACGCCUUUCACUCUAUCCCACCCCACCCCUCUCUCUCUGCCUGUUGCUGUAUCCCAUUCCCAUGCCCUCGUCCUUCCACUCUAUCCUGAUGCCCCCCCCCCCCCCCCCCCUGGGCUGCUCUGUCCCACCUCCCUGCUCCAUCCUGUACCAAUACUUACCAGCAGCCCACCAUGUCUUCCUCCCCUCUUGCUAGGCUAUGGGGUGCAUGAUGACAUACUUUAUUACACCCCUAAAAAAUUGAGCUGAAGUUAUACUUUUAGUCUUUUACAUGAUCAGUACAUAAUUCUUAGAAUUACAAUAAGAUGUUAAAUAAUGCCACCUAGAUACUUUAGGUGUAUCCUAUAGAGCACGGCUGGGCAAUCAGUCAGAAACUAAGCAAGGCCAGAAAUCUUUAAAUCUAUUAAAUGUCUCAACAAGCCAACAGACAUUGGAGGUCAUUCAGACCUGAUCGCUAGGGUGCUUUUUUUUGCAUCCCUGCGAUCAGGUAGUCGCCGCCUACAGGGGUAGGGUAUUAGAUGUGUGUAGGUGUACGAACGCUUUUGCUGGAGAUCUGCAGUCUCUGCAGAGCCCAGGACUUACUCAGCCCAGGACUAACUCACCAACUGCGAUGAUCGGGGCCGGAGCUGACGUCAGGAAUCCUCCCAUAAAACGCUGGUUCCCUUCUGCGUUUUUCUGGACACUCCCUAGAAACGGUCAGUUGCCGCCCACAAAGCCCUCUUCCGGUUAAUCUCCGUGCAUUCGCCAGUGCGAUCGGAGUUUUUGCACCAUCCCGUCACUGACUGGUGCUCCCCGUUGCUGUGGACCAUCACACCUGCGCACUGCGGUGUAUACGCAUGAGCAGUUCAGACCUGAUCGCCCGCUGUGCGAAAACGCACAGCAGCAAUCAGGUCUGAAUUAGCCCCAUUGUAUCUAUAAUUAAAGCAGGGUGUGCAGUGCACGGGGACCCAUGCUGCACAUCCUGUACCCAUAUAAUUAUACUUACCUCUUAGGAGUCCUGCAUCGGCCAGCACUGCAGACAUACUGUAAAUCACUGGGAAAAUGGUCCGUCAAACUUAAUCUCAAAGAUUUAUGCAUGUGCAUUAGUGAAGGAUCCAGUAACAGUAACAUAUCGGGGGCGUCAUGUUCACAGAGACCUGCGCAUGCGCAGUAGACUCUGGUGCAAAGUUUAUGGUUUUUAAUUUUUAAUGAGCGUGGAAGAGGGCUCAGAUUUGGGACUGUUUUUAAAAAAGGUAGGGCUCAGACCAGGGGUCUGAUGUUAUUUCUGUAAGAAAAAAAACUAAUUGGGAAUUAUUAUUUUUUAUUAUUUUUUUAAACAAUAUUAUUAGUAUUUUUCUCUCAAAUGUUGGUGUAGUCAUUUGUUUUCAGUGUGUGUAACAAAAUGUAUUUCAAGUCAGUAAAAUUAUUUUAUAUUUUGUAUGGAAAUAGUGACAAGAAUGGUCCCUGUAUUGUAUAUUGUUUGCUAGAUUGAUCUGUGUUUUUUAUUGUAUUUUAGUAGCUAGAAUAGUCCCUGUAUUGUAAAUCAGUAAUUAAAAUGAUUCACGUGUUACUAAAAUGCUUCAUGUAUCCUAUAUUGGACUCUAAAAUGCUCUCUGCAUAGGUCACUACAAUCAUCUCUGUAUUGUAUAUUGGUCACUAGAAUGAUCACUGUAUUGUAUGUCAAUCACUAGAAUGAUCCUUCUGUUUGAGGUCAGGAAUUGUAUAACUUCACUAGAAUAUAACUUGUAUAAUUUAAUGGUCACUGCAAUGGUCCCUGUAUUGUAUAUUGAUUAUGGAAAUGUUCCCUUUAUCGUAUGUCGGUCACUAGAAUGG